rnacentral:pre_miRNA from 1 species
UCUCCAUUUCACAUACUCUCUCGCCUCUCUGACCGGUGAGAGAGUGUGUGAAAUGGAGAAA